AACGAACGCUGGCGGCGCGCCUAAUACAUGCAAGUCGAGCGAGAAGGUGUAGCAAUACACUUGUAAAGCGGCGAACGGGUGAGGAAUACAUGGGUAACCUACCCUCGAGUGGGGAAGUAACUAGCCGAAAGGUUAGCUAAUACCGCGUACGCUUCCGGAACUGCGGUUCCGGAAGGAAAGCGAUACUGUGAGUAUCGCGCUCUUGGAUGGGCUCAUGUCCUAUCAGCUUGUUGGUGAGGUAACGGCUCACCAAGGCUUCGACGGGUAGCUGGUCUGAGAGGACGAUCAGCCACACUGGCACUGCGACACGGGCCAGACUCCUACGGGAGGCAGCAGUAAGGAAUAUUGCGCAAUGGACGACAGUCUGACGCAGCGACGCCGC
rnacentral:rRNA from 1 species